rnacentral:rRNA from 1 species
CACUCAACAGCUAGCUUAAAUAACUAACUGUAACAAACACUAUUAAUAAACCCAAAAAUACCCAAAACAUCAAACUAAAACAUUCUAAAAAUCCCUAGUACAGGCGAUAGAAAAAGAAACAUUAUAGCAACCAGCCAAAGUCCC